AUUGAACGCUGGCGGCAGGCCUAACACAUGCAAGUCGAACGAGUGGCGGACGGGUGAGUAAUGUCUGGGAAACUGCCCGAUGGAGGGGGAUAACUACUGGAAACGGUAGCUAAUACCGCAUACCAUCGGAUGUGCCCAGAUGGGAUUAGUUUGUAGGUGAGGUAACGGCUGACAUAGGCGACUAUCCCUAGCUGGUCUUAGAGGAUGACCAGCCACAAUGGAACUGAGAGACGGGCGAGACUCCUACGGUGGGCAGCAGUGGGGAAGAUUGCACAAUGGGCGAAAUCCUGAUGCAGCAAUGCCGCGUGUAUGAAGAAGGCCUUCGGGUUGUAAAGUACGUUCAGCUGGGAGGCGUGACCCGCAGAAGAAUCUCCGGCGAACUCCGUGCCAGCAGCCGCGGUAAUAC
rnacentral:rRNA from 1 species